rnacentral:rRNA from 1 species
CACGUAGGGUGCGAGCGUUGUCCGGAAUUAUUGGGCGUAAAGAGCUCGUAGGCGGUCUGUCGCGUCGGUCGUGAAAACUUGGGGCUUAACCCUGAGCUUGCGGUCGAUACGGGCAUGACUGGAGUUCGGCAGGGGAGACUGGAAUUCCUGGUGUAGCGGUGAAAUGCGCAGAUAUCAGGAGGAACACCGGUGGCGAAGGCGGGUCUCUGGGCCGAAACUGACGCUGAGGAGCGAAAGCGUGGGGAGCAAACAGG